AACGAACGCUGGCGGCGUGCCUAACACAUGCAAGUCGAACGCGAAAGUCCUUCGGGAUGAGUAGAGUGGCGGACGGGUGAGUAACGCGUAGGAAUCUAUCCUGUAGUGGGGGAUAACGUUUCGAAAGGAACGCUAAUACCGCAUACGCCCCAAGGGGGAAAGCGGGGGAUCUUCGGACCUCGUGCUAUAGGAGGAGCCUGCGUCGGAUUAGCUAGUUGGUGAGGUAAAGGCUCACCAAGGCGACGAUCCGUAGCUGGUCUGAGAGGAUGAUCAGCCACACCGGAACUGAGACACGGUCCGGACUCCUACGGGAGGCAGCAGUGGGGAAUAUUGCGCAAUGGGCGAAAGCCUGACGCAGCCAUACCGCGUGUGUGAAGAAGGCCUUCGGGUUGUAAAGCACUUUCAGUGGGGAGGAAAAGCUGGUGGCUAAUAUCCAUCGGCCGUGACGCUACCCACAGAAGAAGCACCGGCUAAUUCCGUGCCAGCAGCCGCGGUAACAC
rnacentral:rRNA from 1 species